rnacentral:sRNA from 1 species
UGAUAUGUCUUAGCCAUUUGCAACAGCCU